UGGGUGGGCAAUAGCUUGUCUAAGAGCUACGACUUCUUCCUUAGACAAUGAUAUGCUUGCCGAAGAGUUGAAAGAGACUCUUGUAUGUUGGCCAAAACAAUUUUUGACAUGAUGAUAGAAAGAAAUUUGGACGUGAGAAGGCUAUUCAUAAGUCAACGGCGAUCUUGUCUGAGAUUUAGUUUGAGAGCCAAGCUACCAAAAGGAGAUGUAGGAAAAUGGUGGACUUGCUUAUCCAUUAUUCCAUUAAUAGCAAUGAUGUUUUCGCUAAAGAAAAAAAAAUAAAUUUCCCCAUCUAGUCUUAUUGAAACUUGCGGUAUCACAUUUAUACAAUUGGCUGCUUGCAAUUCAGGUUCUAAUGAUUUAAUUGAUGCUUUGACAUAUAACCUACAGAAGGUAAUUAUUCUUUCAUCUUCUUAUUUUCCUUUCUCUUUUCUUUUUGGGUGUGUUGUUUCGAGGUGGGAAUUGGUUAGAAGAGGAAUAAAAGCAUCAGCUGAGCAAGACGAUAAAAAAUGAGAAAGCCAGCUAAAUGGAUAAUAGUAGCACUCAAGAUAUCUAUGGCAAAGGAGGGAUUAAGUUUGCACACAAGGUGUUUGACGAAAUGCAAAAUAGAAUUAUGCUUUAUGAAGUGGUGAUUAAGGGAUUGAGCUUGUUUGCUAGGUAAAUAUGUUUCAAAUAAUGCUCUUAAUUUCAA